rnacentral:rRNA from 1 species
UAAGGAAUAUUGGUCAAUGGAGGCAACUCUGAACCAGCCAUGCCGCGUGCAGGAAGACGGACCUAUGGUUUGUAAACUGCUUUUGUAACAGAGAAAACCCACCUACGUGUAGGUGGCUGAUAGUAUGUUAAGAAUAAGGAUCGGCUAACUUCGUGCCAGCAGCCGCGGUAAUACGAAGGAUCCAAGCGUUAUCCGGAUUCAUUGGGUUUAAAGGGUGCGUAGGCGGUUUUGUAAGUCAGUGGUGAAAUCUCCGGGCUCAACUCGGAAGCUGCCAUUGAUACUGCAGAACUAGAGUACAGAUGACGUUGGCGGAAUGUGUCAUGUAGCGGUGAAAUGCAUAGAUAUGACACAGAACACCGAUUGCGAAGGCAGCUGACGAAACUGCAACUGACGCUGAGGCACGAAAGUGCGGGGAUCAAACAG